rnacentral:lncRNA from 10 species
GGCUGUGGGAAGGGGCCGGACGCCUGCUCCUGGCCUCCCUUCCCCGGCGACUUCUCAGGUUCUUCUUCCUGUUCUGACACUACAGGGAAGUCCUAGACGUUGUGCUUUCCUCCCACGCUUGCUUCCAUCAAGGAUUAGAGCGCGUUCCCGCUGGUCUGGAACCAUCCAUUCCAGUCUGGCAAGGAGAGACGAUUGCUCAAGUAUCAUUAUUAGUCCAAACUUUUCUUAAAACAGAAAUGAAGGAACUGAGGCAGUAAAAUAAACAGAACCUUGCCUUGGGCCUCCCAAAUCCUCCCAGUCCCACCUUUUCCUCGUGAGCCUCAGAUUCCUGUGCAGAGCUGCCUCACCAAUAUGUUGUGCCAUUUCCUAUUCCUGGAAAAGCCCUGGAGACUGCAAGGGUGGUGUCUCACUAUGUUGCCCAGACUGUUUUCUAACCCUGGCCUCAAGCAAAUUUCCCACCUCCUUCUCCCAAAAUGCUGGGAUUACAAGUGUGAGCCACUGUACCCAGCCUACUUAGGAGGACAUUUACUAUUCACUUACUGAUUUGCAUCAAAUUAUUGAUUGGUGGUGUUUCAGAAGGUGGAAGCUCUGCCAGCCCCACAUACAGCCUGAGUGAGACAUGCCAUUCAUUUGUUAAGCAGCUGAGGGUUUGUAACUGCUUGUGACUGCGGCAUGUCCAAGAAUGUUUUGUCUGAUGCACGACAAUGAGUGAAUAUAUAAUGAUUCAACAAGAGCCAUAGAGUUUUAAAAUGUGUUACAUUUUAUAGGAAAUACAGUUACUUAGACUUAUAAAAACAAGAUAUUCUCAGAAUAUUUUUCAUACUGAUUUACCUCUACUUGUCUUACUGGUGUCUAUGAGCUCAACUCAAGAUUUCCAAUCAAAUAACAACGAUAUGGAUUCACCUGGUGGCCAAGCAACAAUGUAAGAUAUUUAGAGUAGAGUCCUCAGAACAUUUUGCUGUGUUUGAAGAUGCUCAGGGUAAGUUAUAGUAUUCUGAGUUUUGUAUUUCACUACAACAAAUGCUUGUCUUUAUUUUCUUUCUUUUUUUUCAAGACGAGGACAGAAGAGAUUGAGAAUCAUGGUUAAAAGAGAAAAAACAAAACUCACUUGGGCCGUCUUUAAAUGUAUACAGAUAGGUGUUUGGUAGGCCCUAGCAUGCUUAAACUUAGGUUUCAGUAUGCAUGGGCCUUCCAGGAAACUGGCUGGGAAGACACACAAGAAAUUUAUAUCCUGUAAGGGACUGAGGCCAGAGAGAGAGGGGCUCAGCACAGCUGGUAUCAGAGCCAUGCUAUAACACUGGGUGCUGCCAAAGAAAGACACUAUGGAACAUGAUGCAAAUGCUGUUUCAUGAAGGCACACAACACCAUCUACAUGCAGGUACUAAAGCAAUGGAAACAGCACAGCACCCUCCUUCUCAGGAACCACUGCACUGAUCACUCCUUGUGCAUGACUAAGCAGCCUCACUCAGCAGGGCUUGGCAGGGGAGUCUGCCAGAUGUCGUAAAGCUCAGAAACAGAAAAAUGAUGAGAGAGGAUGGGAUGCCCAGGAACAUAGUCACUGCCCCUUGGGAGCAGGAGCACCUCGUGGAAGUGGCAGCUCUGCCCCGAGAAGUGGGCAAGUUGGAGCCUGAGUCUAGCAGGGUUUUGGGCCUUUUGCAGAGGUCUGGCCUCUACAUGCGGGUGUUGCUGAAAAGUUAGAGGAACUUUUCUGGAGUCGUGAGUGCAUGUUGGGGCAAAACUCAGUAGAAUUUGAGUGAUUAUUUCAAACACAAAUACAAUUCUACCCACAAAUAGGUGAAGCCAAGAGAAACUGGCCAUUUAUGGGUCUAUGCAACUACAUUUAACUUAUACACACAUAUAGAAUUAGUAUUGAUGUUAAGGGUAGAAAUGCUGACAGAGCGGUGACCAUGUGUAAAUUAGGAAAUAAGAAAUAUUAAGGCAUUGUUGUUUCAGAAAGUUCAAACUAUCCAUAUAAAUGAGUAAAAUCUGAUUAUCAGUUAACUAGCUGCUAUGCAAGAUGCAUAUAUUAUCAUAAAAGCAAAAUAAUAUUUCAAUGAUUUAUAAAAAUAAGAGAAACUAACACAUCUGGAUAAAGAAUCCAAUUAUGCCUAUCUAAAGCAACUAUCCCCAACAGAUCAAACUGUUUUGCAAUCUUAUCUCUCAUGACUAUGAUUGUAAUUUAUAUUAAAACAACUAUUGAGGCCAAAAAUAACUCAGAGCUAAAUUGUUCAAAUAGCUAUGUUAAAAGGCAUCUCACUUUUGUCAUUUCAGUACAAAUGGGAUUCUCAUUGGGAACAUAGAAAGUUAGUUUGCUAGGAUGACUAUUGAAACCUUAAGGUGAAAAAGCUUGCUCUUACUGAGAAAAUCCCAUCAUGAGUUGUGGGAUUCAAUUCAAACGAGACACAAAGGAUAAAGAAACACUAAGAAAAUAUGCAUAAAAAAGACAUAUAUUAAAAUGAAAAUCUGUUGAGUCAUAACUGUAACACAUCUUUAGAGGUGGCAGCUUUACAAUCAAAUAAAUAAUAUUUUGACACUUUCCAUAACAUUAUGUUUAAUCUCCUUUCAAUUACAUCCAUCUGACCGUCUUUCCAGGUACUUUGAAUCACAAUUCACGUGUCAGAACUUUAUUUUGUUCUAAAGAAUGAAUUUCAAGAAAAAAAAUCCUUAUGUUUCAUUCGUAUAUCAUGAAAUGGGCAUUCAACACUUUUCUUGAUUUGUAUGGUUAGCUGAAAUGGAUAAAUCAGACACAUAUGAUACUGGUCCAAUUAAAGUGAAUGUGCACAAACUACCUUUUAAAGUUUUGGGUAGUCAUUAUAAAUUGAUCUGGAUGUUAAAAUUCACUCAAAAAUUUCAAAGAAUUUCUUGUGAAUCAAAAAUAUCUUGAAAGUCAAAAGAUUAGGAGAAAUACAUUUACUGUGAUUUAAAAGAACACUCGAUCCAUUUUUAAAAUAUUUAGUAAUAUAUAAUUUAUUAUUUCACUCAUCUGUCUCAGUAUAAGGAAUUUGGUGACAUUUCUAUUUAUGCUUUUAGAGGAAACAUCUGAUUCUAAGGUUCAAAGCGUGAGACUGUAAGGCUUUUACAAACACAGAAAUUAAUGAGGAAGGUCACCAUGCAGUCUAUAACUAUCACAGACAUUUUUUAAUGCAACAAUUUACUGGAUUAGCUAUCAGAAAGUCAAGGAGGUGAUUCACUACCAUACAUGAAAAUAAAGUAUAAAAUACUGGUUUUGACAGUGCAACUACACUUUUAUAGCUGUUUUGUCAGUUUCUCACAAAUUUCCUCAAAUGGACAUAUCAUUACUUGAAUAGUAAUCAGCAAUUUAUUUUCAGGGGUUUUUUUGCAAUAAAAAGAAAUGCCUUCACUCAUAAAACAUAAUGAAGAGAAAGGCACUUUAUUUAAGAAUAGAGGAAUGCAUUAUGCCUCUUGAAUAUAUAGUACAUUAUUUAUAAUCUACUGCUGCAGUUACUGUUGUAUAUCCU